AACGAACGCUGGCGGCGCGUCUUAAGCAUGCAAGUCGAACGGUAAGGGAGAGCUUGCUCUCCCCUAGAGUGGCGGACUGGUGAGUAACGCGUGGGUGACCUGCCCUGAAGAUGGGGAUAGCUAGUAGAAAUAUUAGAUAAUACCGAAUGUGCUCAUUUACAUAAAGGUAAAUGAGGAAAGAAGCUACGGCUCCGCUUUAGGAUGGGCCCGCGUCCCAUUAGCUGGUUGGUGAGGUAAAGGCUCACCAAGGCAACGAUGGGUAUCCGGCCUGAGAGGGUGAACGGACACAUUGGGACUGAGAUACGGCCCAAACUCCUACGGGAGGCAGCAGCUAAGAAUCUUCCGCAAUGGACGAAAGUCUGACGGAGCGACGCCGUGUGAAUGAAGAAGGCCGAAAGGUUGUAAAAUUCUUUUGCAGAUGAAGAAUAAACAUAGGAGGGAAUGCCUGUGAGAUGACGGUAAUCAUGC
rnacentral:rRNA from 1 species